GACGAACGCUGGCGGCGUGCUUAACACAUGCAAGUCGAACGGAAAGGCCCUGCUUGCAGGGUACGCGAGUGGCGAACGGGGGAGUAACACGCGGGUGAUCUGCCCUGCACUUCGGGGUAAGCCUUGGGAACUGUGGCGAUAACCGGGGAGGAGCGCUCCUGAUGGUGGGUGGUGGAAGGAUUUUUCGGUGUGGGAUGAGCUCGCGGCCUAUCAGCUUGUUGGUGGGGUAGUGGCCUACCAAGGCGGCGACGGGUAGCCGGCCUGAGAGGGUGGACGGCCACAUUGGGACUGAGAUACGGCCCAGACUCCUACGGGAGGCAGCAGUGGGGAAUAUUGCACAAUGGGCGGAAGCCUGAUGCAGCGACGCCGCGUGGGGGAUGACGGCCUUCGGGUUGUAAACUCCUUUCGCUAGGGACGAAGCUUUUUGUGACGGUACCUAGAUAAGAAGAACCGGCUAACUACGU
rnacentral:rRNA from 1 species